CCUACGGUGUGCAGCAGUGGGGAAUCUUGGGCAAUGGAGGCAACUCUGACCCAGCAACGCCGCGUGCGUGAUGAAGGUCUUCGGAUUGUAAAACUCUUUAAGUCGGGACGAAGAAAGUGACUGUACCCACAUAAUAAGUCUCGGCUAACUACGGGCCAGCAGCCGCGGUAAUACGUAGGAGGCAAGCGUUAUCCGGAAUGACUGGGCGUAAAGGGUGCGUAGGUGGUUUGACAAGUGAGUAGGGUAAUUCCCGGGCUCAACUUCAGAACUACAACUGAAACGGUGAGGCUUGAGUGCAGGAGAGGUGAGUGGAAUUCCUAGUGUAGCGGUGGAAUGCGUAGAUAUUAGGAAGAACACCAGCGGCGAAAGCGAUUCACUGGACUGUAACUGACACUGAGGCACGAAAGCGUGGGGAGCAAACAGGAUUAGAUACCCCUGUAGUC
rnacentral:rRNA from 1 species